UCCAAUAUCUCCUAAAGAAAAUGGAAGAGAAUCCAUCAGAACCAGGGGCCUUAUCCUCCGUCAUAGCACAAAAGGCUUUAUAGAUCUUAUCCACCAACACCAACCUGGUUAGCAACUCAUAGUCCUGCAAAAGAACUUGAUCAGUGGGAGACGGAAUAACGGAAGACUCACCUCCACCAAGCCUCUCGGUUCAGCACACUAAGAA
rnacentral:lncRNA from 1 species